UUUCCGUAGGUGAACCUGCGGAAGGAUCAUUACAGAGUUCAUGCCCUCACGGGUAGAUCUCCCACCCUUGAAUAUUUAUACCUUAGUUGCUUUGGCAGGCCGUGGAAACACCAUGGGCUCCGGCUUAUGCGUGCCUGCCAGAGGAAACAAACUCUGCUUUUAGUGAUGUCUGAGUACUAUAUAAUAGUUAAAACUUUCAACAACGGAUCUCUUGGUUCUG
rnacentral:misc_RNA from 1 species